AACGAACGCUGGCGGCAUGCCUAACACAUGCAAGUCGAACGAGACCUUCGGGUCUAGUGGCGCACGGGUGCGUAACGCGUGGGAACCUGCCCUUAGGUUCGGAAUAACUCCCCGAAAGGGGUGCUAAUACCGGAUAAUGUCUUCGGACCAAAGAUUUAUCGCCUUUGGAUGGGCCCGCGUUGGAUUAGCUAGUUGGUAGGGUAAAAGCCUACCAAGGCGACGAUCCAUAGCUGGUCUGAGAGGAUGAUCAGCCACACUGGGACUGAGACACGGCCCAGACUCCUACGGGAGGCAGCAGUGGGGAAUAUUGGACAAUGGGCGAAAGCCUGAUCCAGCAAUGCCGCGUGAGUGAUGACGGCCUUAGGGUUGCAAAGCUCUUUUACCCGGGAUGAUAAUGACAGUACCGGGAGAAUAAGCUCCGGCUAACUCCGUG
rnacentral:rRNA from 1 species